GACAGAGGUGCCGAGCGUUAGGCGGAAUCACUGGGCUUAAAGCGUGUGUAGGCGGCCUUCUAAGUACCUUGUGAAAUCCCACGGCUCAACCGUGGAACUGCUUGGUAUACUGGUCGUCUUGAGCCAUCUAGGGGCUGUCGGAACAAAUGGUGGAGCGGUGAAAUGCGUAGAUAUCAUUUGGAACGCCAAAGGUGAAAACAGACAGCUGGGGAUGUGCUGACGCUGAGACACGAAAGCCAGGGGAGCGAACGGG
rnacentral:rRNA from 1 species